CACCCCCCAGCCCGACCGCCCGCGAGGACCGGGCGAGCCCGCGCGCCCACGGGGAAGGCUCGCCCUCUGGUGAUUGACAGCAUCUGGAACUUCCUCCUUUCUGAAAUUUGGAAUGCCAGCGCACCAUUCUCUGAGUAGCCCUCGGAUCUCUCCCUCCUGGGGGACAUUUCCAGCCUGCCAGCCUGCUCUACAUACUCGAACUCAAGACCACAACAUCAACUCUUCCCUGAGUUUCCAGCCUGCUGGCCUGCCCUAUGGAUUUUGGACUUGGCAGCCCCCAUAAUUGC